AACGCAUAUUGCGCCCUCUGGUAUUCCGGGGGGCAUGCCUGUUCGAGCGUCAUUACAACCCUCAAGCUCUGCUUGGUAUUGGGUGUCACUGCUAGAGUACACCUUAAAAUCAGUGGCGGUACCACCUGGGCUUCUAGUAUAGUAAUGAUUCUUACUAUGGAGCCUUUGGUAGUUGCUAGCCAGCAACCACAUUUUCAAUGGUUGACCUCGGAUCAGGUAGGGAUACCCGCUGAACUUAA
rnacentral:misc_RNA from 1 species